GAUGAACGCUGGCGGCGUGCCUAAUACAUGCAAGUCGAGCGAACGGACGAGAAGCUUGCUUCUCUGAUGUUAGCGGCGGACGGGUGAGUAACACGUGGAUAACCUACCUAUAAGACUGGGAUAACUUCGGGAAACCGGAGCUAAUACCGGAUAAUAUUUUGAACCGCAUGGUUCAAAAGUGAAAGACGGUCUUGCUGUCACUUAUAGAUGGAUCCGCGCUGCAUUAGCUAGUUGGUAAGGUAACGGCUUACCAAGGCAACGAUGCAUAGCCGACCUGAGAGGGUGAUCGGCCACACUGGAACUGAGACACGGUCCAGACUCCUACGGGAGGCAGCAGUAGGGAAUCUUUCGCAAAGGGCGAAAGCCUGACGGAGCAACGCCGCGUGAGUGAUGAAGGUCUUCGGAUCGUAAAACUCUGUUAUUAGGGAAGAACAUAUGUGUAAGUAACUGUGCACAUCUUGACGGUACCUAAUCAGAAAGCCACGGCUAACUACGUG
rnacentral:rRNA from 1 species